rnacentral:snoRNA from 1 species
CCCCUCUCAGGAUGGCACCUGGAGGGUUCCCAGUACUCUACCAGUCUCGGCUAUGGGAGGGACAGUCAAGCAGAAGCCUACCCAUUCCAUUCCUAGCUUGGCCAGUGGCUAGUGAGUGGAAGGCAACCUGCCGCAAGU